AAAAUUGCACCGUAACCGACCUAACUGACCAUCCCAAAAACCGACCGAAACCGAUUUUGGGGGUGCAGUUCGGUCAGUUAAUUUGGUAGAAAUUUUUUGUCGGUUUUAAGGAAAACCGACCGAAACCAACCCGUAACCGACUUUGCACAGUCUUACUCCACAUCCAUCAUCGGUUUACUACCUCGAUAUUAUCGUCGUUGUGGGUGUCUUUUUGGUUUGCAGAAGCUUCUUUUAGUAUUUUUCUCACUCUUGCCUUCUGUUCUGAGUUCUGCGUGGAUUGCUUUUCCCUCAACUCUCUGUGCUUCUCUGCAUCUGGAGCUGUCUACCAUUUGUGUGUUUAGCUCACCAGCUUGGGAUUUUUUUGGUGGAAACGACUUUCAGCUCUCAGGUGUUUGAGUUCUGUUUGACUCAGUUUGUGGAAUUUUCUUCUUUGUCUUCUCGGUUCAGUUCAGUUUCUCUUAAAUACGUUUUUUGCUUUCCCUGCGGGUUUCUGAGUGUUUUCUUCUUUCCCUCGCACUCUCGCGCUUUUUCUUUGAGUUUUUUGAGGCGUUCAUGUUGUUUCUUUUCUCUAUUCCAUCAAUUUAUGCUUCUCUUUUGUUUAUUGGUUUUCUCUGAUUCUGUGUUAUUGUGGGUAAUUUCUUGAUGUGUUUUGUUUGGCUUUGAUGGUUGAGUUUUGCAGUUUACUGGAGAUGAUCCUGUUGAAGUUUCCAUUCCAAUUGCAUUUUACUGCAAUGUGUUGUCUUUAUUAUUUGUUCAAAUUAAAAUCAUUGAUUUGUACUUUAGUUUAUUUAUCAUUCUUUCAUUGUUAGCGUAACUGUUCUAUAUUUUUGUCUAUUUAUUACCUUUCCUUUUAUUUCAUUCUUUGGGGAUUUCAUUUAUUCAAUUUUAAAUGUUUUAAAAAUGGCAUUUUGCUAAUUCUUAGUUUAGUUUAUUUAUCUAUCUUUCUUUGUUAGCAUAUCUGUCUUAUGUUGUUGGCUAUUUAUUAUGUUUCCUUUUAUUUGAGUGUUAG
rnacentral:lncRNA from 1 species